UACGUAGGGCGCAAGCGUUGUCCGGAAUUAUUGGGCGUAAAGAGCUCGUAGGCGGCCAGUUGCGUCUGCUGUGAAAUCCCGGGGCUCAACCCCGGGCGUGCAGUGGAUACGGGCUGGCUAGAGGCAGGCAGGGGAGAACGGAAUUCCCGGUGUAGCGGUGAAAUGCGCAGAUAUCGGGAGGAACACCGGUGGCGAAGGCGGUUCUCUGGGCCUGUACUGACGCUGAUGCACGAAAGCUGGGGGAGCAAACAGG
rnacentral:rRNA from 1 species